rnacentral:lncRNA from 1 species
UUAAUUCCACUAGUCAUAAAGACUUGAUACAUUGGUAAACGUGUGCCAACACUUUGAGAAAGUAUAAUUUAUCCUCCCCUACAACAACACGAACCAGUGUAAGUAUUACAAAAACCAUAUUGAUACCCCAUUUUUACACAAAUAUCACUACAAGCUGGAGUGUUAUUUGGACAUGGCCCUUUUCCAAAGCAGUAUGUAAAAUAUGUUGCUUCUCCUACAAUCAAUCAAUAUAUAAUAUUGUUAGAAUAAUAAAUUAAUAAAUAUAUACUCCCUCCGUCUCAAUUUGAUUGACACAGUUGACUGUUUCACGCAUGACGAUGAAUAACUUUGACGAAUAAUAUUUUUAAUUGUAUAAUAGUAAAAAUUAUAAAAAUUUGAUAUUUUGACAAUACUAAUCGAGACGAAUCAAACAACAUCUUAUAUGCUAAUAUUUAAUUUUGUUUAUUAGUAGAAAAAUAAGGUCAAAACAAUAUGUGUAAAUAGUGCACAACAGUCAACUGUGUCAAUCAAAUAGAGACGGAGGGAUCAAUAUGAUGAAAAAUUGAAAAUGUUACAUAGACAUACUAAUGGUUUGUUGCAUAAUUAAACAAUUCUUUUUUUUGAAGUACUUAAACAGUUCAGCUCUAUUAUGAAAAAUUAAACAUGUUGACCAUUAUACAUUUUUUCUGCCAGAAGAAAACAGCAUAUUCUCAAUGUUAAAAAAAUAUUCUUAUAGAAAUUAUUAUACUGUAAAAAUUACAUAAAAAUAUAUAGGUAUAGAAUAAAUAAUUUUGUUACCUAGAGUCAAAGCAGAAGCAAUGCAUAGAAUUGCAAUGAAAAAAUACACACAGUUGAUGCUUGAAGCCAUGUUUNNN